ensembl:lncRNA
AUGGAGAGGGAGGCCUGGCAUGCUGCAGUCCAUGGGUUGCAAAGAGUCAGACACGGCUGAGAGACUGAACUGAACUGAUACUGAGUUGCCCAAAAAGUUCAUUCAGGUUGAAAACCUGAAUGAACCUUUUGGGCAACCCAGAAUGAACUUUUUGGCCAACCAAAUAGAUAUGUUUCUGUGUACUGACAGAAAAAGUCCUAUACCCAGCAUGGGAGGCCACCAAAUUGCUGGUCACAACUGAUGCCCCAUUUGGUAAGAAGACCACAGCAGUACAUGGGUGUAGCAGAAUCUUUCUGUAAAUUAACUUUUGAAAACUCUAUUUUGAUACAGCUCCAGUCUCUUGAAAUCUUCCAGAUUUAAUAAAUAAAUAAAGAUUUCUUUNNNNNNNNNNNNNNNNNNNNNNNNNNNNNNNNNNNNNNNNNNNNNNNNNNNNNNNNNNNNNNNNNNNNNNNNNNNNNNNNNNNNNNNNNNNNNNNNNNNUUAAUAAAUAAAUAAAGAUUUCUUUCAAAAACCCACCUUUGAAAUUUUAAACUGGGAUACUGGGGAAGAACAAAGUUUGCCAAGUACAAAAAUAAAUGAUAAUGAAGAUGAUUGAGUCUAAGAUUUUAUCUUCCCUUUCCAUGCCAUCCCAAAUAUUACCAAAUACUUUUAAAGCAUUCUGAACGAUGGCCCAGCCCCUUUUUUAGAUUCUGGGCUCUCUUUGCUGAUUUAUGUCUGACCAUAUUACUGAUUAAAAAGAAAAAAUCAAAAUAACUCUUUGAAAAAUGCCUGGCUCCAUUGAUUUUUGUGGAGAGGCUCUUGCUUGGCUGAAUUUAAUUUAAAUGUAGUUCUUUGUUAUUGCUUCAAGAGGACGACGGUCAUUUCUAACAAGCACAAAUUAUUCAGAGCAUGACCCUCAAUGCUGUAUUUCAAAUAGCAAAAGAAAACAAGCCAUCCUCUCACCCACUCCGCCUUGCAGGAAGAGAAGCUGUGUGAAAAGAACUGCAAAAGGGCAACCUGACCCAGAGAGAUUCGCCCUCACCGGGGCCCUCCUCCCGGCUUUAGUGGGUCUCUGGAUGGGCCAGUUGCACAAAUACAAGAAGAUCAGGCCCGGCAUCCUGGCAGGGGGAGGGGCUUGGUAUCACCCUCCUUGGAUUGCUGUUUGCCAAGUUCUAGUUAACCCAGUUACAGUAAAACCAUUGUGGAGUCUUUAGUGGAGCAAGCCUCACAUCUACAUGGCAUUCACGAUUGUUGAUGGCCAGGGCCCCAGCCAGUAACUGCAAUUUAGUGGCUUACACAUUAUCAUGAAAGGGGGCGGGCAAAGGCUCAAGAGCAGUGGGUUUUUACAGCAAUAGGAAACAGGACACGUUUUGUGCGGCCGCCAACUCCUUUGCAUUUCUGAGGAUGAAAUGCCCCCUAGAUCAAAGUGACAAAGUGGUUAGGAUAUUCACGGGACAGAAGACAAAAGGAGUUCAUCCACUGCCAAAAAACAGCCUUCUGUUAAGUGUUUAGAAGUUUAAUAACAGUACUUACAUGAGAAGCAGAAUGCAGGAGGGUAACUUGAAAGCGUGCGGUUUAAUAGAAACUGGUUGUUCUUCACGACACAGGCGAUCCAGGAGGCUCACCCUCAUUCACUCACUCACCUGGCACACAUAGACUGAGUAUCUACUAUAUGGGGAUGGUGCCAGGUGGUAUAAAGGGUAUAGAAAUGCACAUAACCAAAGCAUCUGCCUUUAAGGAAGCUGCAGACCUAUAUAAUAACUAUGUAAUAAUAUAAUACGUAUUUAUAUACAUAAAGCAAGUAUGCACAAAUCAUCAGACACUGUAUAGGUAUCAGGUCACCUCUACAGUACUUGCAAAAGAAAGGGAACAAAAGCUGAAUUUGCGAUCUUAGCCCAACCCCCUCCUCAAGAGAAUAAAAGAAUUGUGGUUAAAGGGGAAAGGAAAGAGAGACAAUUGCUUUGGAGGAUCUCUUAGUAUUUGGAGUAUUUUCCCACUCCACAUGCCCCUACCCUGCCAGUGGAACGUGGUACUUCCUCUUUACUUCAAGUCAAACGAAAGACAUUUCACGAGGACCACUUAGACAGCAAGGCUUGUGUCCCUUCAGAGUUGGGGAGCUACAGGGUCUGAUGCAAGACCUAUACUCAUAGGAACCUCUAGGCAAGAAACUACAGUUGCCUACCGUGUGAUCUGAGGUCUACACUGAGUGCAAACUGUG